UCGGCGGCCCCGGCCGGCUGGGCGGCGGUGCCCGCUGCUCCUCGGGGCCGGGCCGGCCUGCCCGGGGCACGGGGGAGGUGCCCCUGUCCGCCAGAGAAGGCCCAGCCUGCCCGCAGGAGAAAGCAUCCAGUUAUUCAACAGUGUUGUGGUUAUUGCAGAACACCCGUAGUGGAUCCAGCUAUUCCAGAUAAUCCCGUGUUUGUUUUCAUCGCAGAAUUUAUGAAAUCGAAAGCCAACGGUGUACUCAUCUGUGGUCAUUUUGCUUUGCAAAACGUGUGCUGAAAAUGAAUUCACAUACUGUUCUGCGGGUCCCUUUGUGGUUUUCUAGCUACUGCUUAUAGUUAUUAGCAAGACAGAAGUUUAAUAAGUUCUGUGAUGGUUUCUGGCUGGGUGCAGACAUGAUGGCAGUGAGAGGGAUGAGUCCUGGCACAGCCUCUCCUCUGUCAGAGCGCAUCCUAUGAACUGGUGCUAAUGGGGCGGCAGGUCCCCUGGUACAUCAUCCUCUAAUUAGCACAGUGGUUCAUUUUCCUCAGACCACAGCAAAAUUACUGUGUUGGAUGAUGUGACUAUGAUAUCAUAGGGCUGCAGAGUGACUAGUGCUGUUACAGGAACAAAAAUAAAGUCACUCACCUCUUUUAGCUUUAUGGAUACAUUAGGGCUGCAAGGUCUCAGCUGCACUUGUCAGGAGUCAGGAGUUUGAAGGAGUAGAGAAGAGGCAGAUACAUAGUGUCAUAUUGCUUCCACUGCCUGACCCCAGCUGGGUGUACAGAGUAGAGGGAAAAGAAAGGGCGUAGCUUAAAAAGGUUCACUUACUUCAUUGUAAAGAUGGAUUUUGAAAAAUGCCGCUCUGCCUCUCCAUGAGUGCCCCCAGGAGGGAUUUUUCCUCCGAGGCUUGCUGCCACCUCUCUCUCUCCAUGUGUUUGUCCCUGGUGGUACAGUCUAGCCCUGUAAUAAUGCUUAUCCUUUGAGAUAUGAGGUAAAAUGAAAAACUUGCCUGGUAGGGUUCUCAGCCUGUCAGGAAAUGUUACAGUUUAGAGAAACCACAUGAGGAGAGGGUGCAGUACCUUUGGGAGUGCCUGGGUUUGUGCCGCAGCUGUGGUCAGCUGUGGUCUUGCUGAGGAGGGCUGUUGGCAGAGCAGGGCAUUCCUUCCAAGAGGACUGUGAAUUUGGCACUUCCCACUCUGUCUGGGUGGGGACUCGCUCAGAUCGGACACAGCCAUCUGUGUCGCAAGAGUUUCGGAAAGGGCGAGAGUAUGUUUCUUAUAACGGUGGCAUGGCCAGGAGUCUUAGGAGAUACGCAGCUGGCUGGCUGCCUCCAGGGAAGGCAGCUUUACUGCUGCUGGGACUCUAGCUAAAAUGGUACCAGGAUACCAAGCGUCCUGGUUAAUCCUAUUUCUUAGUAUUUUUCUGUAAAUAUCAGUAUUCAGAUUACCAACAAAAAUUGCCCCUGUGAGAGAUUCCAGGGGUUUUGCAUGCAUUUUGAAUCCAGAUAGAAGUAAUAGUGUAGUUUUGCAAAAUGAAACACAUCAAAAUGUUUUAAUUUGUUGUGUUUCAACUUUUAUGGGAGAUUUCAUUAUAUAAUUGUAUAAAAUUCAAGCUGAUGAAAUGAAAACUAAAUGUUUCCUCAGUUUCCUGUGAAAUGAAUCAAAACAAUGAAUUUUCAUAAACUACUGUUGCUUUGUUGAAUCAUCAUUUUCUAAGAGCCAUGAACUAUUUUGGAAAAUUUUCAGUCAAUUGCAAUGGAAACCAUAUAACCAGUAUUGAUAAGAGAUUUGGAUGCCUAGGACUCCCUCCACUAGGGUGGCAGAAUCUGACAUUUAACAUAUUUAAGAUCAGGAGAGAUAAUUUUUAAUAAAGCUUUGGGAUGUAUCGAAGCCACCGUUGUUACAACAGACUUCAUCUGGAAUGUUUCUUCUCCUUUGUGUGUGUCCAUGUGAAGAAGCGUGUUAAUACUAUGGGCAUCACAUAACUUCCGUCUGCAUUAUGCUGAGCUUCCUAGUGCUGGGGACAUGUUCUCCUGAACGCGGUGCAGCAUGAAUAUAUAAUGCCAGUGAAAGCACUGAGGUCUCCGAGUCAAGACGCUGGCGAGCUGCCUCCAAAGGCCUGAAGCUAAGCAGCAGAAAAUGCUUCACACAGGAAUACAGGCCCUCUCAGUGUGGCCCUAUGUGCUUCUGUCUGCCCCCGUUGGUGCUUAAAAAUGUGAAGAGAUCCAUCUUUUCAAGAGACUGGCUUUAUGCUGUUCUUGCAAGAUUUUGACUACCAAACAAGAAUAAAAUAAGAGAAAGAAAAAAAGUUUGUGGUUGAAGAAACAGUGUUUUAGAAAAAGAGGAGGAUAUUCCCUCUCCUCAUAGUGUCUGCUCUCCGUUAGAUUUAAGUAAACCAAACCCCAAGAUUUUUACUGUGCUAACUCUGAAGACAAAUAGUACUAUGAGUGCAGUGUUCUUUUGGCUAUUUAUUUCAUGCCUGUUCUGAAUUGUGCUGCAGAUUUUUGUCUGGAGAGCCCAAAAUGACUUUGCAUGGGGAAUGUGUGGGAAAACUGGAGUUACGCACCUUCUGCAAGGUGUGGGAAGUGGUUUCAAUCACAAGCUGUAGAUUCAAAAUGGAGUAAGAAAAAUUACAGUGUCAAGAGAGUUUUGUCUUAACGGGAAACAUGUGAAUUCUGAACAGAGGGGUCACACCCGAAGUUAGAUCACAGACACAUUUCCUAGGGAUCUUUUCUGGAAUAAACGUAAAUUCCUUGAGUCUUGCAUUCAUGAGGAAAAAAUAAGCUGUGGUUUUACCUCGUGUUAGCUAAUGCAGGGUAAAAUAGUGAAAAGGCACACUGGCUGUGCUUUUUAAGAUUUGGUGCAUCUUCCCUUCCCUAGAGUUUUUAUCUUAAGCUGCUAAUUCACAUGAAAAAUUCAAUUUCCUUGCCAUUGCUAGGAAAAUGGGAUCCCCUCCUGUCUUUUCAGCUACUGUACACUAGCUACCGCAUGCUCUUGGAGUUGAGAUUGUGUUAGACUGUGGUUUCCAUAAAGCCUUUUCUUUGGAAAAACAAAAAAAAACCCCAAAUGUGUUCUUUGGGCAUUAUGUAUACUGCAAAACUAUUUUAUGAUUUUGAAAUGGCAUAAAAAAUAGUGUUGGGAUGUUCCACAUACAUUGCAACCCUCUCAGAAUUUUUGUUUGUAAGACAAAACACUUUUUUUCCUGGUUGUGGGACUAAAACCCGGCUCUGCAAGUCAGACAGGGUCCCUUCCAUUCCACAGAUCAUUGUAGUACCAGUAGUUCUGUUUGGCAGAUAAUUUCCUCAGCCACUUGUGUGUAACCCUAUUGAUUUGAAUGUCUGCCCCCAGCAACACCUGUGCAAAUUCAUGGAUGGCACUGGGAUUGCACAGAUGCCAUGGAGGGCAUAUUCUGGCAUACAGGAUAUUUAUUACUGGUGGUGAUGCAUGAGAUGGAAGGGGUCCAGGACUCAGGCUGAGUUUGUGCAGCUGGCAGUUAGAAAUUUACUUGCAAACUGAGCUCAUUGGGUAGGAAAAGCAGUGUGAUAAUGAAUCCAGAGCCCCCAGUGCCAUUUUUGCCAAAUCACUUUCUAGGGCAGGAGAACAAUUUAAAAGAGAUGUGUCUCUUAUUAAAAGUGUCUGAAAACUGUACUCAAAAAAAAGUGACGGGAAUUCCAUAUGAGAUUAUAUUGCAGUUAUCUGAUAUCAGAAAUUAGUUACUAAGCUUAAGUGGAAAUGUUUACUUGUUUCUACUGAAAACUUGAAAUAUGUUAUUUCAAUGUGUGAAUUUAACACAAAAUUUUAAUUUUAGCUUAAUUAAAUAUUCAAUAGCCAGUUACAUGAAGUUAAAAAGAAAACAAUAAUUUUUAACAGCUUUUAUUUUGAUUGAUAUGAAAUCUUCCCCAAAACUCAAAACAAUUCAAAGUGACAGAGUUCAUUCAUAAUACUAUACAUUUAUAUUGUUAGCCUAUAGACAUUGAAAUCCAUAGUGCUUUAGCAGGUCUCUUAGGAAAAAAUGUUGUACCUUGAAACAAUUAUAGACCAUCUCUGGUUAAAUUGCAAAGCCAGCUUGCUUAAUAUGAGUAAUUUGAUGUUGUAAAGUAUUUGUCAAUACCCUAGAGUAGUCUCUUAGGGCACACAGGUUUCACUGUAUAAUAUUUCACACUCAUGUGUGCCAGUUAGGCUGCUUAGGUGGAGACUAUUUACAACUCAUGUAGGAUUUGUUACAUUAUGUACUUAAUUUAUGCAAUAUGCUUAAAGAUUCUCUUUAUCAAGUCUAGAAUGAUAAUCAUAUUGCAUUGGAUUUGUUUAAUAUUUUUGGGGGUAGAGGGGAAGCUUAUUUAGUCCAGUGGGUUUCUUAGAAUGUGAAAAUUUAGCAAGGGCAUGACAAAAAUGCAUAACAGAAUGUAUGCAUUAGGUAUCAUACCAAUAUACCCAUUAGAGACAGAAAGCAUGUUCACAGUUGAACAGACACGGACACACAGAUUUAUCAUUUACCUUUUCCUUCCUCCUAAAGAACAGUGGAGGGCUGCAGCUGGCCUCACCCUCACUUACAACCAAAUAACAUUUGAAGCUAUAAGAUGGACACAGGGUGUUUUCUUUAGCUCCACUUCCUUGAAGGAGGCAGCAACAUGACCUGCAGGAAAGACACUUAAGAAGUCUCAUGUCCCACGUGCUCACCUGAUUGGGAUCUGCUGAUCAGCUGCCCUUUGUGUAUACAGUUAUAGAGCAAGUGAAAAGCCACUCUGCAGCAUAUUCCUGAAAUAUUUGUAAUUUACAGGACUCACGCAGUGAGCAGGAUUCUGCAAACUUCUGCAGGGGUUUUGCUAAGAAGGGCCUUGCCCUAAAUGCCACCUAAUCCCAUGUCAGUCACAAAACUGAAGAUACCCAAGGGCAUGGCUGUAAUGUGACCUGCCCUAUCAGAUCAGCCAGGAGUCACCCACCAGGGAACAGCUCAGAGGUUGGCUUCAGCCGUGCUUUCUCAUCAGUGAGCUGCGAAAGCGUUGUGUGUGAUGUGUGGAGCCCAAGCCAAUGAGCUCGAUGGUGUGCAUGCUGGCUUUGUGCAAGGUAAUCUCCUUCCUAGAUAGCUGUGAAGCUUUACUGCAUAGGCAGGAACUACUUGGAGUAUGGAGUCAGCGCAUCCGCCAGGUGCCCUGGCUGUGUUCCCAUCUGAGCUAUCUCUGCCCUUUUUGCGGAGCUCGGCUUGGAAAACCUGGAGACGUGGGCUUCUUGGGCUGCCCUGACUGCUCCCUCCAGGCAGACUUUUCUUGCUGGCAAUCAUGAGCUUGGGCUUGUGCUGGCAAAAUCCGAGUGAGAGAAGUACAACAGCUGUACAGUGGAAAUAGAAAUUAACGCUUCAUUACUGAACAAAGAAGAAAACCACAUAAUAUUCCUAUUGGUUGUAUAUAUUUAGAGAGAAAAGGUUAUAUGAAGAUCUUUAUAAAGCCCUUGUUUUGUUAUGUCCAUGUAAAUCUUUCUGUUGCCAUUGUUU